CAGAUCAUGCAGGACCCUGAAGAUAACAGAAAGGGCUCUUCAUUCUGUUAUUUUCAGUAAGAUGGAAGAGAAUUUGGGGGUUAAAGUGCACUCAGUAACCCUCUCUUUGUGGACAAAGUGCCUGCUCGGUGGUAUUUUAAUCCUGACUGCACAUUUGAAUCACCUAGUAAGCUUUAAAAAAUAGGCUGGUUCCUGAUUUUUAUUUUAUGAGCUCAGGAUGAUGAACCUGAUCCUAAAAUCUGAGACACAUGUCUUGAAAUUGGGGCUAUCUCAGAAAAUACAGGAGAACCCAGCCCACCAGAGAAGCAUAAUUGGAGGAGAAGGCUUAUCUGAACUUGGAAAAUCAGAAACCGUUUCCUGGAGGAAGUAGCAUCUGAGCUGAGGCAUGCAGGAUGAGGGGGCUGAGAAGCAUGCACAGGCACAGAGGAGGGAAAAUAGAGAAGAGUAAGAAAAAGUGAUGGAGGAAGGAAGAGGAAAAGAAGGAUCCAAAGAUGCAAAUGUGGGACAUUUUAGAAGAGCAGAACGUUGCAUUUCAGCCUUCCUGUCUGAUAUAACCCAUCUGGUGACUGCAUUCAAAAGAGCCCUACCAAGAUUAUUUUCAUGGAGUUAUUUUGCCACUGUGUAUUUCACACUUCAUCUUUGCAGGAGAAUGGAUGGAUUUACUUGGCACGUAGCAGGGGACAGUCUGUGGAAAGAGGUGAGAAGGAUAAUCCAAUAGCAAAAGUGAGGGGUGAUGAAGAGUGAAAGGUACCAACUUCCCCUUCUGCAUAUUCCUCUCCACUCUCUCAGUAUUGGAAUCUAAGUCUGAAGUUUUAGACAAGGCUCAGGGACGGCUUAAACUGUAGAUGCAGUUCCCUUCUCUAGUCCCAAAGGCUCCCAGUCAGCCCUAGGCCUUGUGUAGGGAGCUUCCAAAUGCCUACUCAAGGUUUAAUUAAUUUUCUGCAAAAAAUGAUUGGUUGACAUGACAGCAAUAAACAUCAAAUUCCAUUAAUUAAUACUGAGACAUCAGUGUCCACACUGCUUCUCAAUUACACAUUCAGAGGCAGCUACGCUUAUGCUGGCAUCAAUUUGGUCGUGAAGCCCAGUAAGGGCUGUUAAAAUGGAAAGAGGACCAAGGGGAGGGAGGGGUAGGGGGUGGCAUCUGUUCCUAUGCAGAGAUAAUCAGCUUGGAAGAAUUCACACUCCAAAGCCCACUCCCCAGAGAAGGGUUUAAGAGACCUAGAUGAAAGGAUUUAAAUUUGGUUGGGUGAGGCAUUUUCAUUUUGCUGAUGGCCUGGAAGGGAACUAUCAGCUUGAUGAAAACAAAGCUUCCCUCGGGUUCUAAGACAUAUUCUUCAAACUGGCUCCCCUCCCAUUGUUCUUUCUUUCUCUCUUUCUUUUUUUCGGAGCUACAGUCAUCUCCAAUUUCAUGUUAAUUCAGAAGAGAGUCAAAGGGGAACAAAAAGCAAUCUUUGCUUCUUCCACUCAAGAAAAAACCCUAAAGAGACCACAGCUCCCAUCAGGCACAUGCUUUAGGGCCUGGAGACAAAGUGAAAUGUUCUCAUGCACACAUGAAGGGUUAGGUCAUGGAGAUAAAGCAAUGUGAUUAAAUCUUGAUAGAUUUUUGUUUUAAGAGUGAAAAGAAAAAAAAAAACUGGCCUUGUUUGCCUGGUUACAAAGAGUGCUGUUGGUAAUCCCUGGUAAAUUAGCAUCUUGAUGAGCAUAU